UCAAAAUAUCAAAUCCCUUUCCUUCCA
rnacentral:piRNA from 1 species